rnacentral:tRNA from 1 species
GGCCACGAACAUCUCACCGACAACAUCAUCAUGCAAUGGAGCCCUGAGGCGAUUUCUG